AACCGAAUAUGGGUCACGGGGGGCUCAUUUACGGCGAUCCCCGCGUGUUCCCGGCGGGCCGCGGGGACGGGCGCGGCGGGGCCGCCAGGCGGCGCUGUGGGAGCGGGAAUGCGGCGGGCCCCGCGCCGCGACCCCCGCGCCGCCCCCAGCAACGAGCCUCGCGCGGGGGUUCUGGCGUCUUCUUGCAAAUCAAAAAAAAAAAAAAAAAAAAAAAAAAAAAAAAGAUUAAAAAAAAUGGUGCGAGGAAAACAGCGCGGGUAGAGCCGGGCUGGAAGGCGCCUGGCGGGGCAGGCAGCGGCGGGGCGGGCUCCCGGCGGCUUCGGCCGCGCCGCCGCCGCGGCUCCCCCGCGCCCGGGGCAGGGGGUGCAGUGCCGGGGGCGAGCGAGGCGGCGGAGAGUGCUCGCCCCCCGCGCCUCCGGGGGCCGCCGCAGGAGCCAAGUAAGUUCAACCUUUCCAUCGCCGUCGGUGCCGCGCAGGGAGAAGGCACGGCCGGGACGGGAAGCGGGCGAGCACCGCCGCACACGGCCGGGACGGGGCGGGACGGGACAGGACGGGAUGCGCUGCCGCGCUCCCCCCAUGCUGUGCCGGCUGUCCGUGCUCCUGGGAAAGGGAUGCGCUUGUGUCCGGACUGGUUUGGGCGCCGGCAGCGCCCGGGUGCGGGGUGCGGGCACUGAGGGAGCAGGCGAGGUGGCGAUGCCAGGUUCUCGCGGCGUUGCUUCCCCCCCUCGGGAUGUCCGUCCCGUGGGGCUCCACCGGGAUUUACCUGCGGCUGGGCCGGGAAGGAAGCGACCACGCUGCCGUCACAUGGAGCCGCUUGGCAGAGCUGCCCGAAACUUAACGCAGGCGGGGCGGGGGGCAAGUGGGGGUAGGGAAGGAGGGAGUGGGGAGCGAGGAUGAUAAAAUAGUAAUAAAACACGGAAAUUGUGGGUUGAAAAUAUUUUAAGUUUCGUUUUCUUCAGGAGAAGAGGAUAGCUGAUUCUCAUGUUGCAAGGCUGAUGUUCAAGGCCAACCACUGUAUGAAAAAUAGUGACUCGCUGCCUCAGCCUGGCUUGUCUUUGAGCCUGGGCUGCUGCCCGCUGAAGUGCAGCCGGAGCAGCCCCGGCGGGGAGCGGGCAGUGAGGGACCCUUAGGGAAAAACUGGCUGAAAAACAGACGGUAUAUGAGCAGGAACAACGAGCUUUGUUCUCAGUAAGGGAAAAAAAUUACCAUUAAGUUAGUUUAGAAGAAAUUCCAGCAACUCUGUAAGUAAACUGCACUUCAGUGCCUUUGGAUCUAUACACUGUGUAUUAAGGCAGUUACAAAGAAAAACAGUAAGAGUGUUUUCUUUUGAGUCGUCUAAAUGAAUGGGAAAGUUGUAGGUAUAGUGUAGGGCAGUGCUUGAUUUAGCUCGGCUGUCUUGAAUUAAGAUUGGUUUCUAAAAAUAGGUACUUCUUUUUGUGCAUUAUUGGCUAGUUCCGUAUGCAUGUGCAGACCAUACAGUCUUAAAAUGUAUAUUUAUCUCACUGAUUCAAACCUUGUAAUGUUUUAUAUACCCUUACGUUCAUCACCUCUGAUUAAGACAAUGAGGAUACUACUAUGUAAUUCAUAUAUUUUUACUGAAAAAAUACAGAAAUAAAAUACAUUUGAAAAAAUAGCAAAACCUUUGCUUUUCUUCCAUCUCAGAUUUUUCUAUAGAUCUGUAAUAAUUUUACAGUAAUGACUGCAGUUACUAAUACUCACAGAAAGAAGUUGUACUUUUUAAGCAGAAAAAAGUGACCACAUCCCAUUACCUACUUCAUUUUUUUUUAAAUCCAAGCUCUACACCAUCUAUGGAAAUACACAAGUUUUCAAUGAAAGUUAAAUAAUGAUUUUCUUUUCUCUCUAAUGAAAUUUUCAGUCUUCUGUCACCAAAUAUAAUGUAAAGACUGCAAAAAUGCAAACAGAAAGUGUAGCAGCACUGUGAUCAAAGCUUUGAACUUAUAUAUGAAUUAAAAAGUCAGCAAAGCAUUACAGAAUUCCACAUACAUGUGGCUAAGGUGUGUGCACGCCUUCAUAACUUUGAAGAGUUUUAAAGUGAAAUGAAGGUGUUUGGUGUUAGUUUACAUUACUGAAAGACUCUUCAGGAUCAAUUCUAGUAUUUGUUGGAUUUUUUGAAACAUUCCUAGGAAUUCCCUCUUUAGGCUAUGGUGUGCAGAGCCACACCACCUUUAUUUUUAAAUAUGGUGUUAAAAACAUAACUCUGUCAUCUGUUCGAUCAGCUGUUUGCUAUUUUGUGCUGCUCUCAGCCUGAGCAAGUACAUGUACUUGUACACUGAGUGAAUACUUCCAUUUGUGCCCUGGAGUUUACAGCCAUGGAUCGGCAUACGUGCUUAUGUGUGUGGGUUCUGGGUUUCAGUGCUAAGAGAAACUUUUUAUUCCUAAAUUUAGCAUUCUAAUUUGUGGUGGGUGGUUUUGACUAUGCAGCAUUGCUUUGACAACGGAAUUUUUAUAUCAGCCUAAUGGGAUCUAAAAUUUAAAAAAGAAAGAUACAACAGACAACUAUUGGUUGUGUUUAAAUAGAGACAAUAAAGGCUCGAUGGGCGAAUGUCUGGCUCUGCAUUGCACAAGACUGGAACUCCUGUUGUUUACAUCCAGCUUCAUCCCCGCUGCUUUCAGUAUGCGACAUUGCCUUGCAAUUCCAGCUGCGACAAGCAAAAGCUGGAGUCCUGCCUAGGGAGGUUUGCAGUCUGCCUGUCAGAAGGGCCUCAAAGGGUGAGGAAGGAAAGCCCAGUUACAGAGGACCACAAUGGUUGCAGCAGGCAGGAUGGAUAUUGUCUGGGCUGGGGGACUGGGGCUGCACAUGUGUCAAAUUUUUUGGCAGGGUUUCUUUAAGUGCUUGCAGAAUUUAAAGGCACGCACCAUCCAACAGAGGCCUACCUUGCAAUACAUUAACCAGAUCUUUCUAGGUUGAUUAAUAGCUUCAGCCUUUUGGUGUUGGAUUUUUUUUUUAUAUUUUUUUUUUUUACUGUAAUACAGCUGGACCCUAUGCUACAGAAAGAGAUAAUGGAUGAAAUCUUGGCUCUCCUGAAGUCUGUCACAAAACUCACUGACUUCAUUGGAGCCACGUUUUCAUCAACUGCCUCAUAAUACUUUGUAUCAGCCAUAUGGAGGAGAUUUAAAAUUGGCUUUAGAAGAAAUAGAAAUUAGCUCCUCUACAAAUGAUUUGCAUGGGUUAUCUGGGGUUUUUUCUCCAGGUAAUAUAAAUGACAAUGCUAAGUGUAAACUGCCAAAAAGACAAAUAGCUGUAUAACAUUUUGAUUUCCUGUAACUACAGCAUAACUCAACUAAAAUAUUAACUUGAAAUGAACAAAGUUGGAAUAAUGUAUGUAAGACCACCAGCUCUGAUCUGGAUGAUGCAAGGGCAUGGGAAGACAUUCAAAAGCACAACUGGCUAUUUACAGAUCAUGACACAUUUUAGAAGAUGUGAAACUGUAUGUCAAUGGUGCUUCAACACGAGAGGCAGUAAGUUAAGCAGGGGAGACAGUAUUAAUUAACAACUCUUGCUUUUGUACUUUUAGUGUUAUUGAAUUGUGCUUCCCCUUGAUAUUUUAAACAGAUGCAUCAUAAUGGACUUCUUAAAAUUUGAUUUAAACCACAACACCAAGAAACAAUUUUGUUAUAAAAGGAGGGAGGGAAAAAGAAACUGCUGGACUCCCAGCCACUCCCACAGUUGUCUUUUCACAGACAAUUUUUUUCUGAUCCAUUAGCCUACCAGACAAGGAUGGCACCUAUCCAGUGUAAAUAUUACAUUUUCCACAUUUGGAUGGCAUUUUGGGCAAUAUUUCUCAUCCCUUGAGAGUGUACACUUUAUAAAUACAGUAUUAUCUGCGAUUUAGAGCUAGAUUGUGGUAGGAUGACACUUCAUAAUGCAAAAGAUAUUUAAAGAACACUGUUCAUGGCCUCACUGUAGAAUAAAACUUCUUCCUUUCAGUUAUUUUAAUUUACAGUGAAAAUGACUUAAGCACAGCAUCAAACACACUUUUUUUUUCUGGAAUAGGGAAGAUCCAGACAUGAUUUUGGAGGAAUAACUCCGUGUGUAGGCAAGAUCUGUUGCUACUGUUCAGCAGCAUAAUCUGCACUGUACAGACCUUGAAGUGGAAAGCUACACUAGUGUCUUUGGGACCUAAUAUCCUCAUUGGACUAAGCUCUUCACUGUGUGUAUUCCAAUAAUAUCCCACUAACAAUGCCAGAUGCUGACAGAACUCCACCUUGGAAAUAACUAAGAAAGUGAGUUGAUCCCCAUCCAUUGCAAGUAGUGGUUCUUCUUAGAGCAAGAACUUGUUCCGAAAUUCCCAUUCUAUUUUAAAUCCUUCUCUUCCUCAUUAAAGGGAAAAUGGUCAAUAUUUGGACUAAUCCCCAAAACAACUUCUUUGUGCUCAUUUUUCUGAGUAAAAACAACAUAGUUGGUUUGGAUAGUCUUGGACAGGGGAAGAGAAACCACAUCCAGGCACGGCAGUUCUAUCACAAGCUUAAACUGUCAGGGAUUUACAUGGCUUAACUAUAUGCCCUGAAAUUAGUGUUUACAAUGAAAAAACCUGACCUAUCUCUAACUACAGAAGAAUUGCAUAGUACUAUUUUAAUAUAUACCAUAUGCAGUCCAUUAAACAAAUACAAUCCUGAAAAUACUACCUUCACAUUUUCUUUGUUGUAGUUAAUUUUCCAUACUCAUAAUCUGUUUUGAAAGAAUGUCCUUAUUUCUUGACUUUGAAGUACAGACCAGCAUGUUUGUCUCCUGUUUAGCUUCCCUGCCUUCUCUUCAGUUUCUGGCUCAUGAUACUUUGUGUCUUGGACCCUAUAUUUACCCACCUUCAAUAAAAUGUUAUCAGCUGAUGCGUGAUUCUCAUUUGCAAGUUUCUGCCUGUGGAUAUUAAACUUGGAGGUCUGGUAGUACAGCAGAGACUGGAUCAUGGAGCCUGAGUGAAGAGGAGCCCCACACCCACCUGGCUACAAUGGUACAACAAAAUUAAAGACUUCUUAAAUAUAAUUGCCUGGAAAAGGGAGUUGUUGAUGCACUUUUAAAUUUUUCCACUUUGUACUUCAGCCCUGACAGCAAAGCAGUACAGUGUAUUGCAAGUUUAUGACUAUUGAGACCAGAAUCAUGGAGAUGCAGGUGUCCUGCUGCCCGUGAAAUGGAAGGCUGCAAGAGCAAUGCCUCCCAGGUAUGACCUCCAUGGAAGGAGCAUGGACAGGACCAUCAGGCAGCCCAUGCCAUUGAGAGGUUGGGCCACUCCUCAAAGGCUAAUAUUUUAACUUUUAUUUUUAUUGCAUUUUGUCUAUUGAAUACCUGUCUGAGGCUUCCAUCACUUAUACUUAGCUCAUUAUCAGUGAGGACAAGGGGAGAAGUUCCCUACUUGUGUACUUUAAUACACAGUCCAAUCAGUUCAUGGGGAGAAGUUCCUUACUUGUGUACUUUAAUACACCGUCCAAUCAGUUCAUGAAUAGGUGGAUUAGGGAAAUGUGAGGUACUUGCACUGUCCUAGUUCCUUUUUCCCCAUUGUGGUUCUUGAGGUUUUUGUUUGUUUGUUUUCUUCUAUUUCUACACCUGUUUUUCGAUUUCAUUUUCUCCUACUGCCCCUCAAAGCCUGUUUUUUGCCUCUUGGCUUUAUCCAGCACCCUUGCCCCUGCUGCUUUCUCUGCUGCUGGCUCUGGAUGACUACAUUAGACUGUCAUUCUCCAAAACAAAAGUAUGUUAUUUUUUCCUCUUAAUUUUCUCCAUCACAUCCCAUUUGUCUCUUCAGUCAUCUCAACUCUCUUAUCUUAUCAGGCUCAAAACCUUGGCACCAUCAUUAGGUAUUUGCCAGUAUCUAUUCCACUACUCAGUAUUAUAGAUAACCUUCUCCCAGUACAUCUGUUUUCACCUCUUUCAUCUUCUUCUCACUGUUCAAACUGUGGAGUGACUCAGCUUUAUGCAGUUUUUUCUUCACAUGGCUCUUUUUGUAUUUGUUUAAUAAGGUUCACCUCAAAAAGUCAUUUAAAAUUUAGGCAUGUAGACAGAUAGACCAGUAGGUCUAGCACCCUGUGAAUCACCUGGAUCACUCUUGGAGUUGAACAAAUAGCAAUUAACUCAAAAAUAAUAAGCUGUUGAGAUUUACACAGAACCAAACAGUUCUUCCAGCAUUACACUGUAGACAGAGCAUUGUUUUUUUCAUGAACACCAAACUAAUCUACAUAUUUCAGAAGAAAAAUUAUUUGUUCAGGAUCUAUGUUCUUUCCCCAGUAUUUGACAUGCAACAAUACUGUGUCACCAUGCCUUGAAUAUCUUGCUGCUGGCCUGUGACACAGUCCACGAGGCACAACAGCUAUGAAAUGUGGAUCCUUCUGAGACAUUUCAUGCUUGUCAGGUUGGCAACAGAUUUGUGCUGGUGAUGAGACUUGUCUGAGUUGCUGGGCAUUGCAGGCCUGUUUCUGUUUACCUUGCCAGCCCAUUUGCAGCCAGCUGUUCUCCAGCAGGAGACAAUGUUAAAGCAAACACACACAUGGAAAUUGUCCAUAAUAAUUAAAAUCCCAAGGCAGCAAGUCCUUUAAACACGUGCUUAAAUAUGUUUAAUCAGGUGACCAGUCUGAAGCUUCUUCUGAAAUGUCUUCUACAGUUGUCCAACCUAUUAAAAUCUCCUCAAGGUGAUAAAAAAUUAAUUACUUAGGUCUUCCAUGCAUAUGUCAUCCAGUAAUUCUCACCUGGCUUCAGAGUGGGCAUUUUCCUGCAGCUGUUUCAGAAGUUCUUUCGUAUUUUUGAUUCCUCUCCCCUGUUGAUUCUUUGACAGUACUUCUGCUUGCCAAAUUCUCAAUUUGUUGAUAAUUUAUCUUGUCACUCUUUACACCUUUUGUUAUUUAACACUAGAAAGAGACUCUUCAUUCAUGUUAAUAAAACCAUUUAAAUAUGUCUUGUCUCUGCACCCAAAGAUACUAAGGCUUAUGUGCCUUAUGGAAAUAAAUGUUCUUAAUAAUUGUGUUUGAACAUUAUCAUCUUAGUCGUUAUCAUUAGUACUUAGAAGAUGGAUUUCCCCAUAUUUUGGAUGCAUGUAUUACAAGAUAAGGAGUUGUUCAUAUACAGAAAUGGGAGUAGAUAUCUGUAGCAACUAGUAGUCUUGGAGGAAACCUACCAAAAAAAUAGAUUAUAAAUCCAGAUGUAAUAAAAGGUCUUAAGAGACAUGACUUAUAAAGUAGACAUAGCCAAUCACGGACUCCAACAUUUUUCUGAGGGACAACCAUUGUCAGACCAUUUUCUGCUCCAUGUUUUUACAAAUUCCCAAUUUGGGUCUGCCAGGUGAAGUACUUUGGUAAAACAGUUGCCCCUGUGGAAGAGAAAAGCUCUGGUGGGUUAUGAAGCUUCAAGGACGUGGAACAAAAAUGUCAGGUCUCCCCAAAAGGGUGUCACUUGUCAGGGACACCAAAACAGAGGUUUGAUGUACCUGGGCAAAUCUGACCUGCCUGCAAUACGAGCAGGCUCACAUGAGCUUUGCUGGAGCUUUUAGCUAGCAAAACCCUGAGCUCUGGGUAGUGUGUUUUCAUCUUAAGCAGAGGUAAGAAAGACUAUCAGUAGUUUUAGAGGUGGAAUUGUCUAAGAAGAAGAGAUUUAAGAGUCUGACCAGCCUUUACUGCAAAGCUUUUCUGGACAUUACUGCUCUGGAUGAAAGUCUAUCACAAACUUAAGGUAAAAAAGCAAAUACAACCCUCAUGACAAGUUUCUCCACCACAUUUAAUUCUUACUCAGCCUGCUACACAAUAUAUACACUGAAAACAAUCCUUCUCAGGAUCUGAAUAUCAAAAACUUCCUCAUCUAAAAGCUUGCCUCAGACAGCUGUAUGCAAGCCAAAAUGUCCUGCUUGGUCAUUGGCUCCCAUACAAAUAGAGAGAAGGUUAGCUGCUCCUUUCCCCUCCUAACAGACUCCCUAAACCUUCCACAGUGGUUUGAGGAAAUACCAGAGCAGACAUCUCAGCACCACACUGUGUGCAUCUGGAAAAAUAACCCAUGUCACCAAAAAAAGGAAAGAAGUCUCCAGAAUCGUUACUGUCAAAUGCCAUUAACCUGCUAUCAACAAAAAACUACACCACUGCAUGACAACAAAUCAGUGUUUCUGUGUAUGAUGAUGCACAGUGGAGAGAUCUGCUCAUGAUGUGUGGCCUAAAUGUUGGGCUGCAAGAGCAUCUGAAAAACUUACUGGAUGUUUCUGAAUGUCCCAUCUCUACUACAGAUGUUUCCCCCUGUGUAGUAGUGAGGUGCUGUGCAUCUGAGAUACCACAGCAUUUGCAGUUUCUAAUCUCUUUUAUGGGUGGUCUUAAUCAUUUGCAACCACUAUUCUUCCCCUCAUGGCUGGAUGGCAUGAGAUACAUUACUAGUGGUAGUUCAUUGCUGCAGUAACUGUCAGAGGACUUCAGCCUGCUGAAAUGUUGCUAUCAGAAAAAAAAAGGACAAUAGUGUUCCAAAUGCUUCCCUUGAGGGGCUGUAGCAGUGGCAGCAGAGCAAGAAAAGGUUGCUGGUUUCUGUGAGGAAGGUCCAUUUGUCCCCCCUUCACCCCCCAAAAAACCACACUGGGGAUGGUGCACAUUUCUGUAGCUCCACACUCUCCUGCUGCUCAGGGCACUGAUCCCUCUUCCUGCCUAAAGGGAAUCUCAAAGAGGAAUGUGGGGCAAGUCCCCAGAACAAAGAGCUGAACAGCUAAGAAACUGAAUUUCAAUGUUGUGGAGGAUAUCCUCCCCAAAAAAAUCAUGAAAAUUGAAUUCUAGAAUUAGGAACUCUUAGCCAGCACCUUUAGACAUCAUGGAUGCUUAUUAUAAUGUCCACAUUGUAGAGCUUUUGAUAAUCUAUGAUGUAAUGUAGAUAUAGUCACAGAGACUUUACCUGCCUGCAUUUAUCAUUCUGGAAAGAUCAUGUCUAUUAAUCAUAGGUAAGAGCACAGCCUAUUGUGUCCCUGACAAUUAGAGCUCUCUGCCAAAAGAGCAGACACAAAUGCCAAGAUGAACAAAAUGUAAGGGCUCUUUACAGGGUUUGGGUUGUUUAGGUUUUUUUUUUUUUUUCAGAAAACCUUGUACAUGCUCUAAGUAGGGUCUUGAAUUUUUUGCUGUUCUGUAAGUGAAUCUUCAGCAGGGAAGGGAGGGAAAAUGCCUGUUUCUAGCCACCACAAAGAUCUGUUGGAACUUUAAAUUGGGUUGGAGGGUUUCCUCGUCUUUGAGAGCUGUGCUAGAGAGAACUCACAAAACAUGGGUUUGAAUAUACAGGAGCUGACCUGACACCCCAGCACUAAGCAGAUGCAAGUUUCCUGCAUUCAGAGGCAGGGGGAAUGACUUGAACAAGGGCAAGAAACCUUUUCUGAAACCCUAAGGCUUAUCAAAAAUUUGUAAAAGUUAGCUGCUGUGUGCUGGGAUAAGACAAAAUCACUUUAUUUAAAAAAAAAAAAAAAAGAUAAAAAAAAUUAAAAAAAGAUUAAAAAAAGACAACCUUUGUGGGGAAAAAAACCCACCAUUGUAAAAUGUGAGUAGAAAGGAGAAACCAUAGCAGAAAAAGCAAAAGGAACAAAUAAAUUGAUAAACAGAUCAUAGAUCCAUGGUUCU